UACGAAGGGUGCUAGCGUUGUUCGGAAUUAUUGGGCGUAAAGCGUACGUAGGCGGCUUAGUAAGUCGAUUGUGAAAGCCCUGAGCUCAACUCAGGAAUUGCAACCGAAACUGCUUCGCUUGAAUUUGGUCGGGGAUGGUGGAAUUCCUAGUGUAGGGGUGAAAUCCGUAGAGAUUAGGAGGAAUAUCGGUGGCGAAAGCGACCAUCUAGGCCAAUAUUGACGCUAAGGUACGAAAGCGUGGGGAGCAAACAGG
rnacentral:rRNA from 1 species